GAUUUGAUUGCGAAUGGAUGUGUGUAUGGCAUGUUGAUUGUGAAGUGAAUAUGAAUAUUUUAUUGAAAACAUAUUUUUAUAUAGUUCAUGUAUAUUUGUAAAGCUUUUAUCAUAAAAGCAACAAAAUCAAACUUAAAAACAUUACAAAUGAAGAUUUGUUGGGGUUUUUCUCAAUAAAAUUGAAUGCUGUAUAUCAGGUCUAUCGUAAAUACAUUAUCAAAUGUGCAGUUUUGUACCCAUUUUUCCUUGGGACUUGUCUUUAUUAAUGUAUACAAGAUAUAUGUAAGCCUAAUGUUAAACUUUUAAUGUAUAUUCUAGGUUCUUUCAAGUGUAUUUUGCAACUAUAUCAGGGGAAUAGUUAGAGGGUUUGUUUUAGAAAUUAUGAUUAAUAUACUUUUAAAUUUUAUAUAUGAUACAUAAAUAUAUAUUUUUCAAAUAUACCAAUCGAAAUUGUGUAUUGUUCUAUUAUAAUAAAUUUGUUAUUUUUGCU
rnacentral:sRNA from 1 species